GGGCACAUGGUGUAGUUGGUUAUCACGCUCGCUUAGCAUCCCAAUGAGCUGUCUGCGAGAGGUGUUGGGUUCAAUUCCCAAUGUGUCCA